GGGCCCUUAGCUUAGCCUGGUUAGAGCACUGGUCUUAUAAACCAGUGGUCGUGAGUUCAAAUCUCACAGGGCCCA
rnacentral:tRNA from 1 species